CGGCACGUAGCGCAGCCUGGUAGCGCACCGUCAUGGGGUGUCGGGGGCGGAGGUUCAAAUCCUCUCGUGCCGACCA
rnacentral:tRNA from 1 species